rnacentral:rRNA from 1 species
UACGGAGGGUGCAAGCGUUAUCCGGAUUUACUGGGCUUAAAGGGUGCGCAGGCGGCUAUGUAAGUCAGUGGUGAAAUCUCUAGGCUUAACCUGGAAAUUGCCGUUGAUACUAUAUAUCUUGAAUGUUGUGGAGGUAAGCAGAAUAUGUCAUGUAGCGGUGAAAUGCUUAGAUAUGACAUAGAAUACCUAUUGCGAAGGCAGCUUACUACGCAGAUAUUGACGCUCAUGCACGAAAGCGUGGGGAUCGAACAGG